CACGUAGGGCGCGAGCGUUGUCCGGAAUUAUUGGGCGUAAAGAGCUCGUAGGCGGCCUGUUGCGUCCGCUGUGAAAGCCCGGGGCUUAACCCCGGGUCUGCAGUGGAUACGGGCAGGCUAGAGGUAGGUAGGGGAGAAUGGAAUUCCCGGUGUAGCGGUGAAAUGCGCAGAUAUCGGGAGGAACACCGGUGGCGAAGGCGGUUGCCUGGAGCUUUGCUGACGCUGAGGCGCGAAAGCGUGGGGAGCGAUCCGG
rnacentral:rRNA from 1 species